rnacentral:rRNA from 1 species
GACGAACCGUGCGAACGUUAUUCGGAAUCACUGGGCUUAAAGCGCGUGUAGGCGGGACGGCACGUCGGUCGCUGAAAGCCCCCGGCUCAACCGGGGAAGUGGCACCGAUACGACCGCCCUGGAGGGACGUAGGGGGACCUGGAACUUCCGGUGGAGCGGUGAAAUGCGUUGAGAUCGGAAGGAACGCCCGUGGCGAAAGCGAGGUCCUGGACGUCUUCUGACGCUGAGACGCGAAAGCCAGGGGAGCGAACGGG